rnacentral:lncRNA from 1 species
AUCCGGGCUUCCGCGUAGUCCGGGCGCCCUGGCCUCUGCACCGUCCUAGAAACCUGUCUUACGUCGAGGAACCCGGGGGACAGAGGCGCGCCAGUGCACGCCGGGGCCAGGGACGAACGGCUCGCCAAUGCAAAGGAGGCCCCUCGGGGAGACGGCAGGCAGCAAAAGGCUUCCUUGGCCGGGGGUCUGGGCGUUUGGGGAGGGGAGGUGCUCAGAGAUAGGGCCGAGGAUGGAGCUCCCAGGUGGGUUGGAGGCGGGGGUGGCUGGGCUCGAGGACGCUGUUGGAGUCCGGGGUCUGGAAGAGGCGAUCCCCGGGAAAGCCAGCUUCAGAGCCGGGAAGGGUCGGCAGGGGACCUACUGCAAGAGCCCCCAGGUUGGGGUAGGGAGGGGGCCCAGACCUGGGCCGGGAGGGAUGCUGAAUCCCCCGACCUAGCUCUGGGGCUUUGCAAACCAGCAUCACUGCAGCAUUUUGUGGCUCAAGGAAUGGGGCAGGGCGGCCAGACCAGCUGUGGCUGGUGCGUGCGUGAGGCCCUGAGGGAUGCGGCCAAUGCUAUUUUGCUGUUUUGUACUUACUCAGUUUCAUUUUGGCUCUGUCGCCACUAGGCGAAAGAAAUCGAAGUGCUAACAUACCACGGGGAGCAAUGAUUAUUACUCAAUGUGGCCCCGCCCCAGCAGCGGGAGGUGGCAUCUGUUUGACCUUGGAGACUUGGACGGUAUUUAGGGAGAUUACAUGAAAAAAAGACUCACCCCACAAUGCUUGCAGUCAGCUACAAGCUGCCUUGUCCUUCAUACCUUUUAGCCUUUAUUUCCUGAGUCUAUCUUGUCUGUUUCUAAUGUAGUCUCCUGAUUUAGGGCAAGAGAAUAUUUCUCACUCUUGGUCUGCCCACUACCCACAAUCCUUGUCCGAGGAUUUACUCGGCAAACUUAGCAGGCAAAACCCCUUGUCAACUUAACACUAAAAAAUACCGUCUCUUGGAAGGCAGUCUGCUUUGAUAAACCUAAUGGAAUAAAAAGUGAGUUUGCUAUCUGGCUUUAAAGAACAUAACCCAGCUGGGCAUGGUGGCUCACACCUGUAAUCCCAACACUUUGGGAGACCGAGGCAGGAGGAUCGCUUAAGCCCAGGCGUUCAAGACCAGCCUGGGCAACAUAGUAUAGUAAAACCCAGUCUCUACAAAAAGAAUUUAAAAAUUAGCCAGGCCAGAUAGCCCAGCUACUUGGGACGCUGAAACAGGAUUGCUUUGAGUCCAGCAGGUGGAGGCUGCAGUGAGCUAUGACUGCACCACUGCACUCCAGCCUGGUCAACAGAGCGAGAUCCUGUCUCAAAACAAAACAAAAAAACUGACAACCAAUGAAACCUCAUCUCUAAAAUCUGGCUUCAGGUUAAGUGAGUAAAAAGAGGCUUUCUUGUGGCCAGGCACGGUGGCUUAUGCCUGGUAAUCCCAGCACUUUGGGAGGCCAAGGCGGGCGGAUCACGAGGUCAGGAGUUCAAGACCAGCCUGGCCAACAUAGUGAAACCCUGUUUCUACUAAAAAUACAAAAAAAUUAGCCAGGCAUGGUGGUGGAUGCCUGUAAUCCCAGCUACUCGGGAGGCUGAGGCAGGAGAAUCAACGUGAACCCAGGAGGCGGAGGUUGCAGUGAGCUGGUAUCACGCCAUUGCACUCCAACCCCGGGCAAUAGUGCGAGACUCCGUCUCAAAAAAAAAAAAGGCUUUCAUUUAUCUUCUCAGCUCCUACAAGCCAAUGAGUGGUAGGGUAAUUUGCCGACCACAGUGGGAAGAACUAAUUUAACACCAAGAUUGUGAUUCCCCUAGUGUAGAUCCAGUAUGAAAGAAGUGUCUCAGGCAUGCUUCUGGUUCCUGAGUUAACUCUAGUGAAUAAGGUGGGCUGUGCUGUCUCCCCACCUCCCCCAGGCAUAGGGGCAGAACAGCUGCAGACCACCAGGACCCAGUGGGCCAAGUGAGGAUGUGAGUCAAAGCCAGUGCUUAUUAAACCACCUAAUACUGUACUUUUCCCAUCCAGGGGAGGCAGGAGAGGAUUGAGGAGGCAAAUCCCCGAGCCCAGAAGACUCCAGUCAGAAAACAAGAUGGUCCCCAUGGGUAGUGGCCAAUCCCUCUGGCCUUUCAGAGCAGUGGCUUUGGCCUUGUCCGCUUAGGUAACAGGCUCUGCUGCUGGUAGUUGCUUAAGAGCACAGAGUAGCCGGGCGUGGUGGCUCACGCCUGUAAUCCCAGCACUUUGGGAGGCCGAGGUGGGUGGAUCACAAGGUCAGGAGAUCGAGACCAUCCUGGCUAACAUGGUGCAAUCCCGUCUCUACUAAAAAUACAAAAAAUUAGCCGAGCGUGGUGGUGGGUGCCUGUAGUCCCAGCUACUUGGGAGGCUGAGGCAGGAGAAUGGUGUGAACCCAGGAGGCGGAGCUUGCCGAGAGCCAAGAUCGCACCACUGCACUCCAGCCUGGGUGACACAGCGAGACUCCAUCUCAAAAAAAAAACAAAAAAAAAAAAACACAGAGUGAACCAGUGAGAAGGUUAAAUGGAGGAGAAAGCAAAGUUCUUAAGACAAAAAAAGUACCCCAACAAGGGCAGGAAACAAGCUAAAUGACAUAGGCACAGACAACUGGACAAACCCAGAACGUGGGGCCUUGAGACUGUCAAGUAGCCUGGUCUCAAGCCAUUAUCAGGCCCAGGCGUGGUGGCUCAUGCCCAUUAAUUCUAACACUUUGGGAGGCCAAGGUGAGAGGAUCACUUGAGGCCAGAAAUUCAGGAACAGCCUAGACAACAUACCCAUCUUUACAAAAAAUAAAAAUAGAUUUAUUGGAAGGCCAUGUUGAAAAAAAAAAAAGAAAAAAAUUAGCCGGAAGUGGUAGUGCAGCCCUGUGGUCCCAGCUACUCGGGAGACUGAGUUGGGAGGACUGUUUGAGUCCAUGAGUUGGAGGCUGCAGUGAGCUCUGAUUGUCCAAAGCACUCCAACCAGGGCAACUGAGACCCUGUCUCUUAAAAAAAAAAAAAAAUAGGCAAAGAAAUCUAAUAUUGAAAUGCAAUUAAUGAAUUUUAAUUGGAGUCUAGGUGGUGCGGGAGGGGGAUUGGAAAAAGCUAUCAAAUGCAUUCUGAGGACAAUUUGGAGAAAUUUGCAUAUGGGCUGAUAUUAGGGAAUUAUUAAUUGGGUGAUAACAGUAUGGCGGUUAUAUUAGAGAAUGUCCUUUUUUUUUUUUUUUUUUGAGACAGGGUCUCACGGUUGCCCAGGUUGGAGUGCAGUGGCGUGAUGUCAGCUCACUGCAACCUCUGCCUCCUGGGUUUAAGCAAUUCUUGUGUCUCAGCUUCCCAAGUAGCUGGGACUACAGGCACGAGCCACCACACCCAGUUAAUUUUUUUGUAUUUUUAGCAGAGACAGGGUUUCGCCAUGUUGGCCAGGCUGGUCUCGAACUGCUGACCUCAGGUGAUCCGCCCGCCUCGGCCUCCCAAAGUGGUGGGAUUACAGGCGUGAGCCACUGCGCCUGGCCGAGAAUGUCCUUUUUGUAAGGAGAAAUAUGAACAUUGGGAGUAAAAUGCCAACAGUGACUUUCAAGGUUCCACAACCCAUAGAGGAAUUUAUCUGCCAUAUCAAGGAGUGGGUCUGUAGCCAAUCACUGUAACGUUCUUUUCAAUUUUUGUGUUUGGGAUUCAAGUGCCCCAAUACCACCUAACUACCCUUUAAAUGGAAUUAAAUAUUCUAAUUCAAGAUAUCUGUUUUGGGACCACCAAAUUUCAACUAUCUAUAUUUAAAAUCACAAGGCCAGAGUCACAUCAGUGCUCAAAGGCAGCAAAAAUCCUAUUUCAAGCUCAACCAAAUUAGAAGAAUGGAUGGCAGUAGUUACCUCUAAGAAUGGCAAUUAAUGGGUGAUCAGGUAAUGGGCAUGCUGGGAAGAGUUUCUGAUAAACCAGGGGUCUGCAAACUACUGGCCAGAGGGUAAAUAUGUCAAGCAUUGUGGGCUGUAUACGGCCGCCUCACACUUUUGUAACGUGUGUGCACUGCCAAUUCAAAAAAUAAAAACCAGCUGGGCACAGUGGCUCAUGUCUGUAAUCCCAGCACUUUGGGAGGCUGAGAUGGGAGGAUUGCCUGAGGCCAGGAGUUCAAGACCAGCCUGGGCAGUAUAGCAAGACCUCAAUUCUACAAACAAUCCAAAAAUUAGCCAGGUGUGUGUGGUGGUGGUACGCACCUAUGGUCCCGGCGACUCAGAAGGCUGAGAUAGGAGGAUCAUUUGAGCCCAGGAGGUAGAAGCUGCAGUGAGUUGUGAUCAUGCCACUGCAUUCCAGCCUGUGCAAGAGUGAGAUUCUGUCUUUCCAAAAAAAAAAAAAAAAGGCCCCAAGUCAUAGUGUUCCUCAAAUUCCUACGGCCUUUCCUCUCCAAUACUCUGGAUAACAGGAUAACAGAGUGCCACGUGAGUCCCUUACAUAACCUGAGAUGUCUUGACUCAUUGUCUUGCCAGUGUGAUCCAGCUACUCUCACCCUAACUCCUCACUGACCACAGCGCUGUGUGGUUAAUGAGAGGUACAGCUUGUGGCCAUUCAGAUUCAACCACGUUUAUCCACAUCAGAGUUGGAAAAUUCAAACCAGUGGGCUAAUUAGCAAGCUGGUAUGCCACAUGUUAAUGUUCUGAUUAGGCUGGUGACCACUGAUUGUCAACUCCUAGAACAGGGUUACCCAGCUAGUGCUCAGAAGGUUGUUUCUCUGAGUAGGCUUUGGGAACUGUGCACCCAGGAGGGAGGUGCCAUUCUUAGCCACUCAAAUCACCCAGUGAAUCAACAUGCAGUUUCAGCUGACCAGAGCAGAGGCCAACGCAUGUGGUCAUCACACAUAAAUAGAGUGGAGGAAAACUGCUUUCAUGCUUUGCUGUACUAGAAGGUCCCACUGAAUUACAUUUAUGGCCUCUCCACUCUACCCCUGACCUGAAGUUCUUGGAAUGGAGACCUCUGAUGUUUCACACUGUUAUUUUUAAUCACCUUUCGGACAAAGUAUCAGUUUUUGUUUGUUUUUGAGAUGGAGUCUUGCUCUGUUGCCCAGGCUGGAGUGCAGUGGCAGGAUCUUGGUUCACUACAAUCUAUCUUCUGGUUCAAGCGAUUCUCCUGCCUCAGCCUCCCAAGUAGCUGGGAUAAAAGGCGCGUGCUAUCAUGCCCGGCUAAUUUUUGCAUUUUUAGUAGAGACAGGGUUUCACCAUGUUAGCCAGGCUGAUCUUGAACUACUGGCCUCAGGUGAUCCGCCUGCCUCGGUGUCCCAAAAUGCUGGGAUUACAGGUAUGAACCACCACACCUGGCCUAGUAUCGGUUAUUUUUAAAAUUCUAGAAUGCACUAAAAAAGAGGCAAAAAAGACCUUUACCACUGGUGCCUGAUCUACAGACUGAUUUAAUUCAUGUAGUAUGAGGUCUUUUUUGUUUAUUGUAUUUGAGACAAGGUCUUGCUCUGUCUCCCAGGCUGGAAUUCAGUGGCGUGAUCAUAGCUCACUACAGCCUCAACCUCUUGGGCUCAAGCAAUCCUUCCACCUCAGCCUCCUGAGUAGCUGAAACUACAGGUGCACACCACCAUGCCCACUUAAUUUUUGUAGAGACAGAGGUCUCACUAUGUACUAUGUUGCCUAGGCUGGUCUUGAACUCCUGGGCUCAAGCAAUCCACCCAGCUCAGCCUCCCAAAGUUGACAGGCGUGAGCCACCGCACCCACCUAAUGAGAACUUUCUUAACCUUAUUCUGCUUCUGCCAUUCAACUUCAAUUCUUUAGGUUCACCCCUUUCCAACUACUUAUUUGUGUGAUACUGUAUUUUUUUCAAAUACUUCAAGUGAAACAACAUAUCACAAUAGGCCAGGUGCAGUGGCUCAUAUCUGUACUCCUAGUGCUCUGGGAGGCUGAGGCAGAUCACUUGAGGCCAGGAGUUUGAGAUCAGCCUGGACAACAUAGUAAGACCCUGUCUCUAAAAAAUAAAAUGGCCCAGCUGGACGCAGUGGCUCACGCCUGUAAUCCCAGCACUUUGGGAGGCCGAGGCAGGUGGAUUGCCUGAGUUCUGGAGUUCAAGACCAGCCUGGGCAACACGGAGAAACCCCGUCUCUACUAAAAUACAAAAAAAUUAGCCAGGCAUGGUGGCAUGCACCUGUAAUCCCAGCUAUUCAGGAGGCUGAGACAGGAGAAUCACUUGCACCUGGGAGGUGGAGGUUGCAGUGAGCCGAGAUCAAGCCACUGCACUCCAGCCUGGGCAACAGAGCGAGACUCCAUCUCAAAAAUAAUUAAGUAAAAUGGCCCGGUAUGGUAGCACUCCCAGCUACCUGGGAGGCUGAGGCGGGAACACGUGAGCCCAGGAGUUUGAGGCUGCAGUGAGCUAUGAUCGCACUGCUGCACUCUAGCCUGUGAGACAGAGCGAGACCCUGUCUUAAGAAAACACAUAUCACAACAGACUGGACGCCUAAGCAGAGAGUACGUGUGACUUAGCUCCCAAGAGAUCUGCAAAACAGUAAAACAAAGCUACUCUUGCACCUGUAACGGGACAUUACGCCAAAGGAACAAGGGUGAAAUAGCGGCAACUUUCAGGGGAUCUACCUUCCUUCUUCAGUGACCCUGUUAGAGCAAGCUUGACUGUUCUGAUCUUGUUCAUAUCUGUGCCAAAAGUGUUUUUUUUUUUUUUUUGCCCUCAGUAACUGCAAUACUAAAAGUGCUUGGUCAGUUAAGUGCGGUGGCUUGGCCUGUAAUCCCGGCACUUUGGGAGGCCAAGGUGGGCGGAUCACCUGAGGUCAGGAGUUCGAGACCAACCUGGCCAACAUGGAGAAACCCCGUCUCUACUAAAAAUACAAAAUUAGCUGGGAGUGAUGGCGCGUGCCUGUAAUCCCAGCUACUCGGGUGGCUAAGGCAGGAAAUCGCUUGAACCCGGGAGGCGGAGGUUGGGGUGAGCCAAGAUGGCGCCACCGCACUCCACCCUGGGCAACAAGAGCAAAACUCCGUCUCAAAAUAAAUAAAAUAAAAGUGCUUGGUCAAUGUGUGCUGAAGAGUUGGUUGCUGCCGCUCGGCCUAGUUUCUUAUGGUCUCCUAGCAGUGCAAAAGCAGCCUGGUGUGGGCAGACCAAACUCAGGCAGGCAGAUGCGGGUUAUCAGUGAGUUACAGCACCUUAGGUAUAGCAGUCACUCCUAAUUCUACAGCCAUACACUUGCAGUGGCACCCAGGGUAGUUCUGGGUGACAAAUGAGUCAACGUAAGUGAAUUCACUGAGUAUAUGCCAAAAGCCUAUUCACAGUGUGUUAUCAUUCCUGAAAUGUGAAUUAAUGUUUCUCAGAAAAUUAAGAAGCUUGGCCGGGCGCGGUGGCUCACACCUGUAAUCCCAGCACUUUGGGAGGCCGAGGCAGGCGGAUCACUUGAGGUCAGGAGUUUGAGACCAGCCUGGCCAACACGGCGAAACCCGGUCUCUAUUAAAAAUAUAAAAAUUAGCUGGGCAUGGUGGUGGGAUCCUGUAAUCCCAGCUACUCAGAAGACUGAGACAUGAGAAUAGCUUGGAACCUGGGAGGUGGAGGUUACAGUGAGCUGAGAUCGUGCCACUGCACUCCAGCCUGUCACAAAAAAAUAAUUAAAAGCUAUGAUCCAGUUAUCAUUUAAACCUACAACCACACCCACACCCACCCAGGCUAAGAAGUUUGAAUAAUUUGCCCAGGAAUCAAAAGGGGCCAUAAUUCUGGGAGGAUCACUUGAGCCCAGGAGUUCGAGCCCAGCCUAGGCAACAUGGCCAGACCCCAUCUGUUUUUUGUUUUGUUUUGUUGUUUAAAACGGGCAGGAUGGGGCGUGCCAUCACUCAAACUCAGGUCUGUGUUUCUCCCCAGUGGUACCCCGGAAAGGCCCUCAGAGAUCCAGUUGAACAGGCUCGUUUAAUAUGAGAAAAAUGGAGGCCCAAAAGGUGCAAUGGUUUGGUUUUGUUUUUUCAACAGAGAUAGGGUCUCAAUAUGUUGCCCAGGCUGGUCUCAAACUCCUGGCCUCAAGUGAUCUUCCGGCCUCAGCCUCCCAAAGUGCUGGGAUUACAGGUGUGAGCCACUGCGCCCACCCUAAAAGGUGCAAUUUUUUUUUUUUUUUGGAGACGGAGUCUCACUCUGUUGCCCAGGCUGGAAGGCAGUGGUGCAAUCUUGGCUCACUGCAACCUCCACCUCUUGGGCUCAAGUGAUUCUCCUGCCUCAGCCUCCCGAGUAGCUGGUCCUACAGACACCCAGCACCAUGCCCUGCUAAUUUUUGUAUUUUUAGUAGAGAUGGGGUUUCACCAUGUUGGCCAAGCUGGCCUUGAACUCCUGACCUCAGGUAAUCCGCCCGCCUCAGCCUCCCAAAGUGCUGAGAUUACAGGCAUGAACCACUGCGCCUGGCCUGGUGCAAUGGUUUUUUUAAGUCCCCAAACCCAAAUCUGAUUCCUGGUUGGAGGCGCUUUCCAGUAUCUACUGUCUUUCCCCUUUUUCCUGCCAAUCCAACUUCAUUGCUUGGGCUGGGGAGGGAAGAGAACACCAACAUCUGAUCCAACCUUCAAAAGCAAAGGACAGUAAAACUCACACAAUGAAGCUAAGGAGCACUGGCGUCAGAUCUGUAAGUUUAUUUGCUCAAUGUACGACAGCUACAUAAUGACUCACAUUCAUGAUAUUCCAUCACUGAGGAAACUGCUAAAGAUGGUCCGUGUGUGAAAUAAUUCCUUAGAGAAACACGGAGCUGGAAAAAUAAUCACUGAUUAGACCUUAAAAAUAGUUCACUGCAUAACAUGACAAAAAGCACAAAGGCUCAUUCAGAGAACAUAUUUGUUGUUCUCCAACACUGUAAUAGUUAUAAUUUCACCAUGACAAACACCAGACAUUAAGAUUAAGCUAACACUGGUGUUUCUUUUGCUCCCCCCCUUUUAAAAACAAAAUAUAUAACUGCAUGUCACUAUAGCAACAUCCAAAACAGAUCAAUUUGUUACAAUCACUAUUUGGUAGAGCAAACUUUACCCCCAAAAGGAAAAAUUAAAUUAAAAAAAAAAAACCUUUAAAAAAUUUGAAGACUUAAUUUUUUUUGUCAUAGGAAUACAUAACACCUACAGUAUAAGUUAAUCAAUUUCAAGCUACUGUAUAGAAAUACAACACUAGCAUGCACAAUAUUGUAUCAAUAGAGUAAUGGAGGAGUAAUCAUUUCACUGGAGAGACAGUAUCAUAGGCAAGUGCAUUUCUUUAAAAAUAAAGAAAAGAAAAACCAUUCAAGCUGCUUAAAUAUCAAGUCUCCCAUUCCCUCUCCGUUUUCAGCCCUCAGGUGUGAUUUUUAUCUUGCAUUAUUCUAAAAAGCAGCCAGAGCCAAAGCUGAAAUUUAAAGGAAAAAUAGGUUUUGUAAUUCCAGUAAAUCAUUUCCAAAUGCUACAAGGAAAAACGCAACACUGCUCACUGGACAUGAAGAUAAAUUAGGGAAAGCCCCACCUACCCUGCCCCCCCCCCCCUCCCCCCCCAAAUCGUCUUCCUCCCAUGGCAAUGACUUUAGGCGCCUGUGAGAGGCACAAAAGCGGCAAAGCUUCUUCUACUAGUUCUUCUGGUAGGCUUCACUUAACUGGGACUUUUACUCUAGCGUGAGGAGGGGGCCUCCUAAGGAAAGUCAUGCUGGGUAAACUGUGCGAUGUUACAGAGCACAUUGAGUCUGUGGUCAUCGUGGUUCUUCUAUCUUCACUGUCACCUGUAUCCUGUUACACAUACUCAGUUCCUAAUUGUAAGCUCAAUUUUGGUAUUAGCAAAAGCAUCUGUCAGUUUUUCCUCAAUUACUCACACCUCUUCUUGCCUAAAUAAAACAAAGAAACAAAGAAAACAAGUGUGGUGUCAUUACACGUCUCGGGAGUUCCUCGUCACUGACUUUAUAUAUAUAAAAAAAAGAAUGCACAUGCGGGCCACGUUCACAGAUAGACAGAUUCACCCGAAAUGAGAAUGAGGGCCUUAAGGCUGCCGAAAACAAAUGGGUGGAAAUAGCAACGUUGUUUCCGUCAAUUCCAAAUGUGCACUGGCUGCGUGAGACAAGCCAAUCUCCAAUUCCUAUGCUUUUUUCAUUAAAAAGAAAAAACUAUCUCGAGAGGAAAAAGUUCUGGUCAAAUAGGAGUUCAGUGUUUGUUAUCUGGUAACAGUUUUUUUAUCUUCCUACAAUUACUUGGGGAAGGAGUGUCUUCGGGGAGGAAAAACUGACACACUGACAAGGCUCCCGAAAUUGGACAGAAUGGUUAAGGAUAUAGCUCUUCCUUUUGGGUUUUUCUACCAGUAGGCUUCUAGCACCUGAAUUUUCACACACUGCACCACAGACCUUCUCCAAACGCCUCUCCGACCCCACAGCUUCUGCACCCAGCUGCGUCCGCCAGCACGAGGCGCAGUAGGAAACGCCCCAGUGCAGAGUGGGUGACGGCAGUGUGAUCCCUGAGGAGGGAGCUGCAGCAGCUUCAGAAGCGGGAUGUUCUCUGAAAAUACCAACACGAUCCAUGACAUACAGACCUGAAUUUUCUCUAUUUUUGUGGCGUUUCACGUUUCUCUCAAGAGGAUUAAUAAUUUUGGUGGUGGAUUUACGUUAAGAGGAAAGAAGGACCAAAAAAAAAAAAUCCCACAGCCACCUGACCUGAAGUCGCUUUCAUUCUCAUUUAGCCUAGGAGACCGAUCAACAGCAAAACCAACCUGGAUAAGGCUGAAUAAGGAUGUUAAAGCCCAAACAACUAGCAAAGGAAAAGUACACAAUCGAUGGCUUGAUGUUACAUAUGGCUGUAAUGUAGAAAUACUGUAAACUGCAAUUUAGUGUUAAUACUGUCAACUAAUCAGAGACUUCGGAAAACUGGCAAGGCCUAAACCAUAAGGAUGAAUGAGACCUCAGGUUCUAAGUCUGUCAGUCUGGGAUUUACACUGUUCCAUGUCUGUAGGCUACACCCUGGAAAACAUGCAGAGCCGAGACAGAUGAGAUAGAAAGUACCCAAAACGAGAGACGAGAGCGUAUGUACAUAAAAAUCCUUACUGGAACCACAGAACUUACUGAAUGAGGGCCAUUCCUCUUUAAGUUUUCUUUUCAUCUGAAAACCCUAUUAUCUAGCAAUAAGUUAAAUUAGAGACAGACAGCUCCACUUGCAUGAAUCUACAGAACAGUCCAGACGCCAGUGUGAGGCUGCUAUUCCAAUACCAGCACAGCUAGCCUGACUUUCCACUAGUGGUAUUUUGGCAAAAAUGUCAAAGAGGCGAUCAAAGACAGGACAGGUCGUGGGUUUCUCCCUGGGAAGGUCAUCCCUCCCUUUCCCUCCCCCACCCGACCCCCAACUCAUGGGAAAAAAAUAAAGACUGCAGUAGUAGCAUCCGCGUGCGCUGCCAGUUCCCCUGGGGCCUUAAUUGUUGCCUUCGCCGCCAUCGUCGUCCUGCUGGUCGCUCGUCCAGAGCGUGAGGUUGUCGCGGAGGAGCUGCAUGAUGAGCGUGGAGUCCUUGUAGGAGUCCUCGUUGAGGGUGUCAAGCUCGGCGAUGGCGUCGUCGAACGCGGUCUUGGCCAAGUGGCACGCUUGCUCUGGGGCGUUCUGGAUCUCAUAGUAGAAGACGGAGUAGUUAAGAGCCAGGCCUAAUCGGAUGGGGUGGGUGGGCUGCAUGUGCUCUUUGCUGAUCUCGUGGGCUUCGCUGUAGGCCUUCUCGGAGGACUCCACCACCGUCGCCCUUUUCUCUCCGGUGGCCACUUCAGCCAGGUAGCGGUAGUAGUCCCCUUUCAUCUUCAGGUAGAACACUUUGCUCUCGUACUGGGUCUCGCUGCAAUUCUUGAUCAGGUAGUUAUCCAGCAGGCUCAGCACAUCCUGGCACACAGCCUCCAACUCCUUCUCUAUCUUCUCCCGGUACGCACGGACCAUCUCAAUCUUCUUCUCAUUGCCGUCUGCAGAUGUCUUCUGCUCAAUGCUACUGAUGACCCUCCAGGAAGAGCGGCGUGCCCCCACAACGUUCUUGUAGGCCACAGACAGAAGGUUUCGUUCCUCAUUCGACAGUGGCUCAUUCAGCUCUGUCACCUGCCAGGAGGAAAGAACAGAGUUGUUAUGGUACAGAUGGUGUCCACUGGGUUAACUGUAUCUUUGAG